GACGAACGCUGGCGGCGUGCUUAACACAUGCAAGUCGAACGGAAAGGCCCUGCUUUUGUGGGGUGCUCGAGUGGCGAACGGGUGAGUAACACGUGAGUAACCUGUCCUUGAAUUUGGGAUAAAUUCAGGAAACUGGGGCUAAUACAGGAUAGGAGCUCCUGCAGCAUGGUGGGGGUUGGAAAGAUUCGGCGGUUGGGGAUGGACUAGAGGCUUAUCAGCUUGUUGGUGGGGUAGUGGCUUACCAAGGCUUUGAAGGGUAGCCGGCCUGAGAGGGUGACCGGCCACAUUGGGCCUGAGAUACGGCCCAGACUCCUACGGUAGGCAGCAGUGGGGAAUAUUGCACAAUGAGCGGAAGCCUGAUGCAGCAACGCCGCGUGCGGGAUGACGGCCUUCGGGUUGUAAACCGCUUUCGCCUGUGACGAAGCGUUAGUGACGGUAAUGGGUAAAGAAGCACCGGCUAACUACGUG
rnacentral:rRNA from 1 species